GACGAACGCUGGCGGCGUGCUUAACACAUGCAAGUCGAACGAUGAAGCCCAGCUUGCUGGGUGGAAGAGUGGCGAACGGGUGAGUAACACGUGAGUAACCUGCCCCGAACUCUGGGAUAAGCGCUGGAAACGGCGUCUAAUACUGGAUAUGCAUCAUGGCCGCAUGGUCUGUGAUGGGAAAGAUUUAUCGGUUCGGGAUGGACUCGCGGCCUAUCAGCUAGAUGGUGAGGUAACGGCUCACCAUGGCGACGACGGGGAGCCGGCCUGAGAGGGUGACCGGCCACACUGGGACUGAGACACGGCCCAGACUCCUACGGGAGGCAGCAGUGGGGAAUAUUGCACAAUGGGCGAAAGCCUGAUGCAGCAACGCCGCGUGAGGGAUGACGGCCUUCGGGUUGUAAACCUCUUUUAGUAGGGAAGAAGCGAAAGUGACGGUACCUGCAGAAAAAGCACCGGCUAAUUACGUGCCAGCCGCCGCCGUAAUAC
rnacentral:rRNA from 1 species